rnacentral:rRNA from 1 species
AUUGAACGCUGGCGGCAUGGCUAAAACAUGCAAGUCGAACGAUCCCUUCGGGGAGAGUGGCGAAAGGGCGAGGAAUAGAAUCGAAUGUACCCCAAGGUGGGGGAUAGCCUCUGGAAACGGAGGGUAAUACCCCAUGUGCUCUACGGAGGAAAGGUUUACCGCCUUGGGAGCAGCGAUUCUCCUAUCAGGUAGUUGGUGAGGUAACGGCUCACCAAGCCGAAGACGGGUAGCGGGUGUGAGAGCAUGACCCGCCGCAUCGGGACUGAGACACUGCCCGGACUCCCACGGGAGGCUGCAGUAACGAAUCUUCCGCAAUGGGCGAAAGCCUGACGGAGCAAUGCCGCGUGUGGGAUGAAGCAUCUUCGAUGUGUAAACCACUGUCAGGGUCUAGGAAUACUGACCAGACCCAAAGGAAGGGCCGGCGUAAUUCCGUG